UCCCUGAAGGUCCAUGGGUUAGGACUUGAUGCUUUCACUGCUGAGGCCCAGGUUCAAUCCCUGGUGAGGGAA
rnacentral:tRNA from 1 species